GUGGCUCAGCAGUAGAGUGCUUGCCUAGCAUGCAUGAGGCCCUGAGUUCAAUUUCUCAGC
rnacentral:tRNA from 1 species